AGUGAACGCUGGCGGCGUGCUUAACACAUGCAAGUCGAACGAGAACGGAAUAUAGCUUGCUAUAUUUGUCAGCUAAGUGGAGCACGGGUGAGUAAUGUAUAGAUAACCUGCCCUUAAGAAAGGAAUAACAGAUGGAAACGACUGCAAAUUCCCUAUAUGUCUUUAAUACAUAAGUAUGAAAGGGAAACGCUUUAGUGUUUAAGGAUGGGUCUGUAUGGGAUCAGCUAGUUGGUAAGGUAAUGGCUCACCAAGGCUAUGACGCCUAACUGGCUUGAGAGGAUGAUCAGUCACACUGGAACUGAGACACGGUCCAGACUCCUACGGGAGGCAGCAGUAGGGAAUAUUGCACAAUGGACGAAAGUCUGAUGCAGCAACGCCGCGUGGAGGAUGACACAUUUCGGUGCGUAAACUCCUUUUAUAUAGGAAGAUAAUGACGGUACUAUAUGAAUAAGCACCGGCUAACUCCGUGCCAGCAGCCGCCGUAA
rnacentral:rRNA from 1 species